GUCUUCGUGGCUCAGUUGGUUAGAGCGUUGGUCUCAUACCAAUUAAGGUCAUGACAGCACGACAACGUGCUAAGCCAUCCAAAGGUCGCGAGUUCGAGUCUCGCCGAGGACA
rfam:Blumeria graminis f. sp. hordei DH14, WGS project CATH01000000 data, contig: 006849